AUCUCUCUCCUCCCUGUUGUUUUAUUUCUUCUUCUCUGGCUCCCCAUCCAUCUCAUCUCUCCUUCCCUGUUGUUUUAAUCUUCUUUCUGGCUCCCCAUCCAUCUCUCCUUCCCUGUGGUUUUAUCUCUUUCUGGCUCCCCAUCCAUCUCUCCCUUCCCGUUGUUUUACUUCUUCUGGCUCCCCAUCCAUCUCUCCUUCCCUGUUUUAUUUCUUUCUGGCUCCCCAUCCACUCUCCUUCCGUUGUUUUAUCUUCUUUCUGGCUCCCCAUCCUCCUCUCUCCUUCCCUGUUGUUUAUCUCUUCUUCUGGCCCCCAUCCAUCUCUCCUUCCCUGUUGUUUUAUUUUCUUUCUUCUGGCUCCCCAUCCAUUUCUCCUUUCCUGUUUUCUUUUCUGGCUCCCCAUCCAUCUCUCUCCUUCCCUGUUGUUUUAUCUUCUUUCUGGCUCCCCAUCCAUCUCUCCUUCCCUGUUCGCUUCUCUGUCUGGCUCCCCAUCCAUCUCUCAUCCCCUGUUGUUUUAUCUCUUUCUGGCUCCCCAUCCAUCCCUCUCUUUCCCUGUUGUUUUAUAUUCUUUCUGGCUCCCCAUCCAUCUCCUCCUUCCCUGUUCUCUUCUUCCGGCUCCAAUCCUCUCUGCUUCACUGUUUGUUUUAUUUUCUUUCUGGCUCCCCAUCCAUCUCUUCUCUCCCUGUUGUUUAUUUCUUUCUGGCUCCCCAUCCAUCUCUCCUUCCCUGUUCUUCUUUCUGGCUCCCCAUCCAUCUCUCUCCUUCCCUUUUGUUUUUUCUUUCUUUCUGGCUCCCCAUCAUCUCUCCUUCCCUGUUGUUGUAUCUUCUUUCGAGCUCCCCAUCCAUCUCUCCUUCCCUGUUCUUCUUUCUUUUCUUCUUUCUGGCUCCCCCAUCUCUCUUCCUCUAUGGCUCCCGUUGUUUUAUCUUCUUUCUGGCUCCCCAUCCAUCUCUCUCCCUGUUGUUUAUCUUCUUUCUGGCUCCCCAUCCAUCUCUCCUUCCCUGUUGUUUAUCAUUUUCUGGCUCCCCACCCAUCUCCCUUCCUUUGUUUUAAUCUCUUCGGCUCUCCCAUCCUCUCUCCUUCCCUGUUGUUUUAUUUUCUUUCUGCUCCCCACCUCUCUCCUUGCCUGUUGUCUUCUUCUGGCUCCCCAUCCAUCUCUCCUUCCCUGUUGUUUAUCUUCUUCUGUUCUGGCUCCCCAUCCAUCUCUCCUCCUGUUGUUUUAUCUCUUUCUGGCUCCCCCAUCCUCUCUCCUCCCCUGUUGUUUUAUCUUCUUUCUGGCUCCCCAUCCAUCUCUCUCUUCCCUGUUGUUUUAUCCUCUUCUGGCUCCCCAUCCAUCCUCUCUUCCCUGUUGUUUAAUCUUCUUUCUGGCUCCCAAUCCAUCUCUCCUUCCCGUUGUUUAUCUUCUUUCUGGCUCCCCAUCCAUCUCUCCUUCCCGUUUCUUCUUUCUGGGCUCCCCAUCCAUCUCUCUUCCUGUUUUUUUUAUUAGUCUCUUCUGGCUCCCCAUCCAUCUCUCCUUCCUGUUGUUUUUUUAUCUUCUGGCUCCCAUCCAUCUCUCCCUUCCCUGUUGUUUUAUUCUUCUUUCUGUCUCCCCAUCCAUCUCUCUCUCUCCUUCUGUUUCUUCUUUCUGGCUCCCCAUCCAUCUCUGCUUCCCUGUUGUUUUAUCUUCUUUCUUUCUGGCUCCCCAUCCAUCUCUCCUCCCUGUUGUUUUUUUCUUUCUCUUUCGGCUCCCCAUCCAUCUCUCCUUCCCUGUUUUUUAUUUUCUUUCUGCUCCCCAUCCAUCUCUCCUUCCCUGUGUUUUUUCUUUUUCUGGCUCCCCAUCCAUCUCCUCCUUCCCUGUUGUUUUAUUUUCUUUCAUUUCUGGCUCCCCAUCCAUCUCUCCUUCCCGGGUUUUCUUUCUGGCUCCCCAUCAUCUCUCUCUCUCCUUCCCUGUUGUUUUAUUUCUUUCUAGCUCCCCAAUCCAUCUCUCCUUCGCCUGUUCUUCUUUUCCUGGCUCCCCAUCCUCUCCCUUCCCUGUUGUUUUAU
ensembl:lncRNA